rnacentral:misc_RNA from 1 species
GUAGGUGAACCUGCGGAAGGAUCAUUAACACGUAUCCAACGUUAAACCCCCCUGUGAACCUUCAGCGUGCUCUUUUGGCCCGUUGACGCAGCAAUCUCUGGUAAAUCAUGGUAAACAGCUUUGAUUCAGGGACCUCUGCACAAUGAGAAAUUACAGUCAAAAUUUUGAGCGCUAGAGUCAGUGGCUCGGUCUCCCCAAGCAACCAGCGUCUGAAAGUGUCGCUGGAAGCGUAAGGAGAACGCUUUACGAU